rnacentral:rRNA from 1 species
GACAGAGGGGGCAAGCGUUGCUCGGAAUCACUGGGCGUAAAGGGCGCGUAGGCGGGAUGGCAAGUCGGUCGUGAAAUCCUUCGGCUCAACCGAAGAACGUCGGCCGAUACUGCCGUUCUUGAGGGAUGCAGAGGAGAUUGGAAUUCCCGGUGUAGCGGUGAAAUGUGUAGAGAUCGGGAGGAACACCGGUGGCGAAGGCGGGUCUCUGGAACGGUACUGACGCUGAGACGCGAAAGCGUGGGGAGCGAACAGGG